UACGUAGGGGGCAAGCGUUGUCCGGAUUUAUUGGGCGUAAAGAGCGUGUAGGCAGCCAGGUAGGUCAGCUGUGAAAACUCGAGGCUCAACCUCGAGACGUCGGUUGAAACCACCUGGCUAGAGUCCGGAAGAGGAGAGUGGAAUUCCUGGUGUAGCGGUGAAAUGCGCAGAUAUCAGGAAGAACACCCGUGGCGAAGGCGGCUCUCUGGGACGGUACUGACGCUGAGACGCGAAAGCGUGGGGAGCGAACAGG
rnacentral:rRNA from 1 species